AGCGAACGCUGGCGGCAUGCCUUACACAUGCAAGUCGAACGGUAACAGGUUAAGCUGACGAGUGGCGAACGGGUGAGUAGUGUAUCGGAACGUGCCCAGUCGUGGGGGAUAACUGCUCGAAAGAGCAGCUAAUACCGCAUACGACCUGAGGUUGAAAGCGGGGGAUCGCAAGACCUCGCGCGAUUGGAGCGGCCGAUAUCAGAUUAGGUAGUUGGUGGGGUAAAGGCCUACCAAGCCUACGAUCUGUAGCUGGUCUGAGAGGACGACCAGCCACACUGGGACUGAGACACGGCCCAGACUCCUACGGGAGGCAGCAGUGGGGAAUUUUGGACAAUGGACGCAAGUCUGAUCCAGCCAUGCCGCGUGCGGGAAGAAGGCCUUCGGGUUGUAAACCGCUUUUGUCAGGGAAGAAAAGGUUCUGGUUAAUACCUGGGACUCAUGACGGUACCUGAAGAAUAAGCACCGGCUAACUACGUGCCAGCAGCCGCAGUAAAAC
rnacentral:rRNA from 1 species